rnacentral:rRNA from 1 species
AAACCUCACCAGGCCCGGACACCGGAAGGAUUGACAGAUUGAGAGCUCUUUCUUGAUUCGGUGGGUGGUGGUGCAUGGCCGUUCUUAGUUGGUGGAGCGAUUUGUCUGGUUAAUUCCGAUAACGAACGAGACUCUAGCCUGCUAACUAGGCGAUUUCCGGUACCCACAAUAGUGUUACCGGCGAUUCAAUUUCUUCUUAGAGGGACAGGCGGCUCCUAGCGGGCGCAGAUGU